rnacentral:rRNA from 1 species
CACGGAUAACAUACCGAAAGGUAUGCUAAUACGGGAUAAUAUAUUUGAGAGGCAUCUCUUAAAUAUCAAAGGUGAGCCAGUACAGGAUGGACCCGCGUCUGAUUAGCUAGUUGGUAAGGUAACGGCUUACCAAGGCGACGAUCAGUAGCCGACCUGAGAGGGUGAUCGGCCACAUUGGAACUGAGACACGGUCCAAACUCCUACGGGAGGCAGCAGUGGGGAAUAUUGCACAAUGGGCGAAAGCCUGAUGCAGCAACGCCGCGUGAGUGAUGAAGGCCUUCGGGUCGUAAAACUCUGUCCUCAAGGAAGAUAAUGACGGUACUUGAGGAGGAAGCCCCGGCUAACUACGUACCAGCAGCCGCGGUAAUACGUAGGGGGCUAGCGUUAUCCGGAUUUACUGGGCGUAAAGGGUGCGUAGGCGGUCUUUCAAGUCAGGAGUGAAAGGCUACGGCUCAACCGUAGUAAGCUCUUGAAACUGGGAGACUUGAGUGCAGGAGAGGAGAGUGGAAUUCCUAGUGUAGCGGUGAAAUGCGUAGAUAUUAGGAGGAACACCAGUUGCGAAGGCGGCUCUCUGGACUGUAACUGACGCUGAGGCACGAAAGCGUGGGGAGCAAACAGGAUUAGAUACCCUGGUAGUCCACGCUGUAAACGAUGAGUACUAGGUGUCGGGGGUUACCCCCCUCGGUGCCGCAGCUAACG